rnacentral:lncRNA from 1 species
CAUGCUAUUAUACCCCAAUGAUAAUAAUAAUAAUAAUUAUCAUCAUCUAUAUAUAUAUAUAUAUAUAUAUAUAUAUAUAUAUGAUGUGUAUUUGCACAUUCUACUUAAAAUACACAACAAAAUCUAAUUAAUCACAAAUUAUUAACAGCCCUAGUUCAAUUUUCUCAGUUGCCCAAGGGUAUUUAUAUGUUGCUUAAAGUAUUACUUGAGAAUCAGCGGUUAGUAUCGUACCAAAGCCAAAUUUCGGUACUGAUUCAGCAUUAAUGUACAUUAACUGAAUGCCUAUUUUAGCAUCCUUUUUAUUUUUGUUGCAUGUGAGUGCUGUUUAUAUUUUGCUAUCACAUUGAUCAUUUGCAUGUUUACUGAUCUUGUCCUGCUUUUUGUCUUUCUGUUCUAUUUUUAUCAUUGAUAUGCAUGCACAAGGCCUUCUGUUUCUUUUACGGAGUCCAAUCCCAGCAGCUGCAAAGAAGCGAUUCCAUCUCCUCCUCUGGCACGUCCUUAUCAACAGAUUUAGAGAGCGGGCGGCUCCUCAGGGAUGACAUAUGUUCUUCGUGUUAGCCACACACUCUCAUAUCUUGCUGUGAUGGAAGACCUGGGCAUAUCCCUCAGGUGCCACAAGGCGUUGAGGAAGAGAGGCAGACACAGAGGAAGAGCCAGCCUGUCUGGAGUCUUAUGUAACCCCAAACGCAUCCAGAGGAAAGAGACAAUGGCCUAGAUCCACCUCCAACAGCCACGCGAACACCGAACUGGACUCUGUUAGAUUGUGUGUAUGUGUGUGUAUGUAUUGUAAGUGAGUCUGUGUGCAUGUUUGUGUGUGUAGAGAGACUCACGCAAGUCCUCGUGUUCUUCUUUGACAGUGUGUCUCUUUCAGUGCUGUGAUGGAAGACCUGGGCAUAUCCCUCAGGUGCCACAAGGCGUUGAGGAAGAGAGGCAGACACAGAGGAAGAGCCAGCCUGUCUGGAGUCUUAUGUAACCCCAAACGCAUCCAGAGGAAAGAGACAAUGGCCUAGAUCCACCUCCAACAGCCACGCGAACAAGCAGCAGCUCUGCUUUUGACGUACCUGCCGGUGAAAUCAGUCUCUGAGGCUGUUUGUUCUUUCAAUCAAUUGUUUAUGUGCUUUUUAUUCAUAAAUUUGCAGGUUUUUAUAUCAGUAUUAUGUGGAUUGUGUUGGUCUUGUGUUAAGUACACAGGUAAUAUCUGAACUGAAAAUGAAAGGAAUAAUUUAUUUUGAGAUAUUUGUUAAAGUACAAGCACAUUGCAUUAUACGGUAGCAUUUUCUUGUGCUGUCCUUAAUGUAAUAAAUAAAAGCGUACAUUUUUUACACACACUUGGGCAAUUAUCUUGUUCCAGGCGUUCUUUUAUCAGUGACGCAGGUUCUAUUAAUUGCAGCAUUAUAUAACAACAGAAAAUAAUAGAGAAGAUGCUUCUAAUCCAUGACUGUUCCAAAGGGAAUUUAAGGCAUGGCUGUUUCUCCAUUACUUUUUUCCCAUUUUGACCCUAACAAUUCAAGACGUUCUGUCUGCUACACACAAAGUGCCUGCCUCGAGGGACUGACCGAAGUAUUCUCCCUCAAACUGAGGCACAAUCAAAUAAAGUUCAAAGGUCAUCCUCUGCUUCAAGAGCUACCUGCUCCGUGACCCAGACAAAUUACUCUCUGAAGAUUAAAUGCCUUUUCGCCAAAAAUACAUCAGAUGUGUCUUAAUGCAUAUCAGAAAAGAUAAGCGGUUCCAAGACAAGGGUGAUCAUCUUGAUUAGAUUUUGUGCUCCAGAUGAAUUUGCUCAAAGCAAAGUCCAGACCAGAAGUCUGGACCAGAAAGACUAUGUUUUCUCUAGCUCAGUUUUGGCCUCUGGGAAAUUUAGACAUGAAAGAUGUUUUGUGGUGUUUGUGAGUUUGAGUUUGUGUACAUGUGAGAGGAAGCUCGUUGGCUAUUGGCAAACAUACAGAUAUUACAGCACUUCAAGAGAGACUUAGGGCCAUUCACACUUAAGAAGAUAAGGACUGCUCAGGGCUGUUCAGGCCUGGCAGUUGGUUUCAAAGCCCUCAGACUUUGAAACAUGUGAGGGCUAUUGAAAACCACUUUCACGGAGUCCUUUCUUUAAAAGCAGAAGCUAUUAUCAUGUAGAAGUAGAGUUCAAAUGCUUAUUUUUUUCAGAAUUACUUAAUAUUUGGUUUGUCACAAACUUACUGAUCAGUGGACUAAAAAUAGUCCUGUGUCUAUUUUCACCCUAGAAAAUGAAUUUUCUAACUGCAUGUUAUAGAUCUUAUUGUGAGAUCUUUGUUUGUUUGUUUUUGAUAUUGUAUUAAUCAAAAUGCAGCAACUGGACCUUUUGCAAACAACAGACUCCUCUCUGGCGACGUAUGCCAGACUUCUAUUUUAUUAAAAAAUAUUCAAAUGAAUAAAUAAAAUAACUAAAUUAUAUAUGUAUGUAUAUAUAAUAUUCUAAUUUGUAUGUAACUGAUUCCAAGAUUUUCGUUGUCUCAGACUUCUAUAACUCACUGUAUGUUAAUGUGUCUACAUGAAGAGAAUCACCUUAUCCUCGUAAAUAAUUUGUUUGCUUGAUUAAGAUCAGGUAUAUGAUAUCAAUACUAUGUUACAACAUCUCAGUCAUAGCUGAGGGACAGAUUGAUGUCCCCUGAUAACAAAUGUGAUCAGCUUUAGUAAACAAACCUUGCAGAUCUGAUCCGUGUGCUACUAAGUGUCUCUGUGAUGAUUAAUAGCAACAUCACAUGAGAACAGAGACUAUAUGGUGUCACUUUCACACUAAUGACAGAUCACUCUCCUGCUUUAUAGUUUUAUGCUAAUGGAAGGCGUCAUGGGACAGCAGUUUUUAAGCUAUUUUUCUUUUUCUUUUUUUCUGUGAUGUGAAACCUGCAUUUAUAAGUUUAAUCUGACAAACACCUUGAUUUAUUUUGAAAUGAAAUCUUUAGUUUAAAAUAGAGGAGGAAAUUGCUCUUCUGUUUCACAUUCACCUGUGAGUUCAUAGACAGUUCUGCUCCAACUCUGUCUGUUGAACAGCUUGGUAAGACCUAUGGGACGGUUUAUGUCAAAGCAAACACACUGAACAUGUUUUUUCAAGCGAGGUUGAGAGGAAGCAGUGAGCGGGAGGGAGAAAUAAAGAGAAAAAGACUUAAGGUAGAAAAAAAAAAUUACAGUGUAUGCAGGCUGGACUGUAUUUCAAAGUUUGUUUUCCAAAUAAUUGUGCAAAU